AUGGCGGCCGUGACGUUGGACGAGUCUGGGGGCGGCCUGCAGACGCCCGGAGGGGGGCUGAGCCUCGUCUGCAAGGCCUCUGGAUUCACCUUCAGCAGUUACCCCAUGUUUUGGGUGCGACAGGCGCCCGGCGAGGGGCUGGAAUUCGUCGCAGCUAUUAGUGGUACUGGUAGUGGCACAGGCUAUGGGGCAGCGGUGCAGGACCGUGCCCCCAUCUUGAGGGACAACGAGCAGAGCACAGCCAGCCUGCAGCUGAACACACAGGGCUGA